UACGGAGGGUGCAAGCGUUGCUCGGAAUCACUGGGCGUAAAGCGACCGCAGGCGGCCUGACAAGUCGGAUGUGAAAGCCCUGGGCUCAACUCAGGAAUUGCAUUCGAAACUGGCAGGCUUGAGUACGGGAGAGGGGGGUGGAAUUCCCCAAGUAGAGGUGAAAUUCGUAGAUAUGGGGAGGAACACCGGUGGCGAAGGCGGUUCUCUGGGCCUUACCUGACGCUGAGGAGCGAAAGCGUGGGUAGCGAACAGG
rnacentral:rRNA from 1 species